GACGAACCGUGCAAACGUUAUUUGGAAUCACUGGGCUUAAAGCGUGCGUAGGCGGCUAAGAAAGUUGGGUGUGAAAUCCCUCGGCUCAACCGAGGAAUUGCGCUCAAAACUACUUAGCUUGAGGGAGUUAGAGGUGAGCGGAACUAAUGGUGGAGCGGUGAAAUGCGUUGAUAUCAUUAGGAACACCGGUGGCGAAAGCGGCUCACUGGGACUCUUCUGACGCUGAGGCACGAAAGCUAGGGUAGCGAACGGG
rnacentral:rRNA from 1 species